UCAAGGUCUUUCUCUUUUGGAUCCUUCUUUGUCACUCUCUCAGGGUAAUGUAACUUAAUCACUAGUUUAUCCUCUUUUUUAUUUUUGUCUUCAAUUGGAUUUACUGGUGGUAUAACUCUUUCUUCUUCUUUCUUAUUUUCCCUCACUUCCAGAACUACCUCUAUGACAUGGUCAUCCUUUGUUGCCUUCUCUUCUUCAUCUUUAUCAACUAUCUGACUACUUGUCAUAACAAUAUUACCAU
rnacentral:lncRNA from 1 species